GACGAACGCUGGCGGCGUGCUUAACACAUGCAAGUCGAACGAAGUGGCGAACGGGUGAGUAACGCGUAAUCAACCUGCCCUUCAGAGGGGGACAACAGUUGGAAACGACUGCUAAUACCGCAUACUGAAGGAGGGGAUUGCGUCUGAUUAGCUAGUUGGAGGGGUAACGGCCCACCAAGGCGAUGAUCCGUAACUGGUCUGAGAGGAUGAUCAGUCACACUGGAACUGAGACACGGUCCAGACUCCUACGGGAGGCAGCAGUGGGGAAUAUUGGACAAUGGGCGAAAGCCUGAUCCAGCCAUGCCGCGUGUCUGAAGAAGGCCUUCGGGUUGUAAAGGACUUUUGUCAGGGAAGCGGUACCUGAAGAAUAAGCACCGGCUAACUACGUGCCAGCCGCCGCGGUAAUUC
rnacentral:rRNA from 1 species